GACUUUCUCAUGCUCUCUUCCCACAAGCCAACAGUUCCAAAGCCGUGAGAUUUCUGCUUCUGCCAACCUAGAGCUGAACGGUGCACCAUCUCAGUGACAGCUUCCUUGCAGGCUGACCUACUUUGACCAAUGACUUUCAGGAUUGUCCUCCUCCAAGCCAACUGCCACAUGUGAACGCUAGCCUGCUGGAAAGGGCACACGGAGAAUAGUGGUGUCAUGAGUGAUAGCCCCAACCAGUGACCAGUUGAGUGAUGGAAGCCACCUUCCACAGGCAAGCCAAUGAACCAAAAAUUUGAUUCUGCUCCUAGAAUUGCCAGGAACACGUCACCUCCUUAGCAGGUGCUCGGAACAUAUUUGGAAGAUGAGUCCCCUCGUAUCAGUGCACAUUCCUCAGCAAAAAGUCACAGGCUGCAAAACUUCAAAAAAAAAAAAAAAAGCAGGAAAACGGUGUAUGUGCUUCAGAGAGCCACCCACUGUGCCAAGCACGGCGACGUAAGCCGUCUCAUUUGAACCUCCUCACAACAGGAUGGGAACUGCAUAAUCUGGGCACAGUGCCCCAUGCCUGUGCCCUAGCACUCAGCGAGUUGAGGAAGGAAGACCAGAAGGUACAGGGUCAUUCUCGGCCAUAUUUGCGGUUUGCGGCCAGCCUGGGAGACCCAGACUUGGGCUAGUGAAGAACUGUGGAUAUGAACUGCAGGAUUGCUGUAAGGAACAGCUGACACCCUGAACUCUGCACGGAGAACGCUGUAGUGAGAGAACUGUCGGGGAGAGAGGAACAUGGUACCAAAGUAGGAAUGGGUGAGGCUCUGUGUGCCCACAGGACAUGUCCUUUCAUGGGUUGUGGGUCAGGUUCAGCCACAGUGUGAUUGCUCAGCUGAUGUGUGUAUGCUAAAGGGCAGGGUCCAUGCAUUAGGAGUGGCUGGGCUGGGCUGGUGUGGUGUGCUGUGUUUCCCGUGGGGAUGGCGGUGAUUCAUUACCCUUCCCAGCCCGCUCAGCUUCUAUCAGGGUUCAACUUGUAGUAAACAAGUCAGAAAAUGCCAUCUGGGUNNNNNNNNNNNNNNNNNNNNNNNNNNNNNNNNNNNNNNNNGGGGCGGGGGGAGCUUCCGAGGUGACCCUCAGUGUCCUGUCAGCCCCAAAUCUUCCUGGAAACUACACACUGGAUCCACAGAGCUCAGAAUCUCUCUCACCAAUGGCAGAAAACCCUUCUUCACCCAAUUUCCGAUCUUUUUUUUUUUUUUCUGGAAUGUUCUAGAAACUCUACUCUCCUGGGAUGAUUCUGAGAUAUAACCACUCCAGCUUGCGCUGGGGGUGGGAGUGGGGGUGGGUGUUCUGCUGCCCAGAGGAUAUCUGUUGGGGUGCUUCUGGGAGGUGUGCAUCAAUAAAUCAACCUGUGCAUGCUAUUAAUCAACAGUUUCCCUGAAGUCUGGCCAGCGAAAUUCAGGCUUGUUGUCUAAGUGAGUAGGUCUGACGUUCUCGGAGCAGAGAACACAGGAGACACAGUUCAGCCCGCAAGAUGAAUAAAACCACAAUCACAACAAGAGCACAACUAGAGGAACGAUUAAGUGUCAGAUUGUGAGAGUCUCCCUUGGUUCACCAGGGCUUUCAAAAGGACAGGUAAGACUAGCCAGUUUGCCCCAAAAAUAGGCCAAACGAGACUGGAAGGGCUUGAGCACUAGAAGUUCAAGGCUCUGACCCUGGGAGGCUGAGGCUAAGAUGGUUCUAGGACUGGUUCCCUCUGAGGCUGUGAGCAAGACUGUUUAACUCCUGUCUCGCUUCUGCUGGCGACUAGCAUUUGUUUGUGUCUGCUAGUCUCUACCGUUGAAACAACCACAUCUGCACAGACCCCGUUCCAAGCAAGGUUGCAUUCUGAGGUACGGAGGUCUAGGAGUUCAAUCCAUGAAUUAUGGAUGGCGACACAUAAUUUAACCCAUAGCAUAACCAGAAGCGGGUUCCACAUAUGGAUCACGCACAGGAUCUUCUUUUGCCAGUCCACACAGAUCGCCAACGAGUCUUCCCGAAAACGACUUGCACUCCCCCGGCCCCGCCCUUCGAGGUGGUAGCCGGCCUCACCUUAUCUUACUUGCAACUCAGGUGUGACUGGCCCCACCCUGGGUAAGAGGUUACUGUGAGCAACCAACACUGGGAGAUCAUGGAGGAAUGGGGCCAAGAAGGGACCUCAGGAUAAAAAUAGCUCCAGCAGUAGGGGUAGGUGGCGUGUGACCAGAUGACCUUUGCCCUUUGAGACUUUGAAAGUCACCAGGUUGGGAUGACUCAGCUCUCCGCUCAUCACCUUGGGGAAGAGUGACCGUACAUGGGGGGGGCGGGUCACUUCUCUUUUCCUUCCUCCCCUGGCAGCUCUUCUGGAGCUUCCAGAAGCCUGAAGAGGAUCCCAUGACGACACUGAUGUAAUCCUGUGUGCCCUGUAAAAGGGGGGUGGUGGAUCAGAACUGAACUGUCUUUCAAAGCAGGCUUUGGACUGAGCGCUCUGGACCCAUUAAUGCAAGGUCUGACUCUUCCAGACUGAGAGACUGCUGAAGGAAGAAGCAGUGACCCACGGCUGAGUACAGUGGCCAGGGUUCCAGGGUACACAUCUGUCAAUUCACCCCUCUGGAGGCAUGGGCUGCUGGAAGUGAGUUCCGUGAGAAACUGUUUGGUAUAAUCCGUGAAUACUGAGAGAACUGUAGGCUGUCUGUGGGGAAGAGGGAGCAGGUGUUGCCCUCUCGCCUGUGAAUCACUAGGGAGGUGAAAGAGUUCAUACAGCCAACCAGGAAGCAGUCACUCUGACAAGCCAAGCGAAGAGAUGUUUGGCCACCUGCAUCUGACUUCUAGAUCGGCUUCUGUUCUUGGGACCAGCAAUGCUUGAAUGAAAAGCUCUGCUGAUUGCCUGCUGCAGAGAAGCCUGGACCCACAGGGCACCGGGCAUGAAGGAAAGCAAGCGGUUCCGUGUUGAAGGCAAGGGUCUCUGUCCUGCAGCAGUGAACUUCCUGCCUUUGAACCCACUCACCACACUCCCUUUACGGAUCUCAGGGAAACCCCAGAGCCACGGUGCAACCCCUCCUCACCCACAUAGGCCCGCUCCCUGGCCCAGGUACGCGUUGGCUUCUUACUGGGACUUGAAGCAGCACACGUGGGCUCUGGUUCUCACCCACCACUCUCAUCAGGCGGGGCUUCCCCAGAACAAAGGGUGCCAUCUGCUCAAGGACAAACCCAGACUUCAUUUCUGUUGGUAUCUUCUUUCACCAUCUUUCCUUCCUUAGGCUGUAUUUUAAAUAUUCUCAGUCAUCCUAUCAGACGGAAUGUGUUUCACUAAAAUGUCAACUUUGUACAGUAAAUGGGUGACCCGUGGAGGAAAAAGGCCACCUACAGGACGCAUGAACAGGUUUGCAAAUUGUAGACCUGAUAAAGGACCAAUAUCCGGGAUAUACAAAGCACUCCUACAAACCGCUGCCACAGCCAUCAACAGUGACAGAAACCGGGGAGGGGGGGGAGGCGAUUCAGCCAAGCAAACACUUGUUUUUCUUCUACAAGUCAUAAAAUGGUCAAUAGCCAUGCCUCAAUGCAGGAGUCCCAGGAGAAAUGCAAAUCAAACCCACACCGGGCAGUGGUGGCGCAAGCCUUUAAUCCCAGCACUUGGGAGGCAGAGGCAGGCGGAUUUCUGAGUUCAAGGCCAGCCUGGUCUACAGAGUGAGUUCCAGGAUAGCCAGGGCUGUACAGAGAAACCCUGUCUCGAAAAACAACAACAAAAUACAAAACAAAACAAAACAAAACAGAAACUACUUCCCACCUAUCAGAGCAGCUACCAUGUAAAAACCAUUACUAGUGCUAGUAGGAUGCCCUGGACACUGUUGGUGGGAAACAAACAUGACUAACUCUGUAGAAUACACUCUUUAAAGAAAUGAAGGAAGGGAAAGGAAAGGGGAAGAGGAAAAGGAAGAAAUAGAAUUAUUGUAUGGCCCAGUAAUUCUGUUUCCAGGUAAGAACGCAAAAGAGUAUUUUAAAGGUCAUGGAGGCUGACAAGAUGGAGGAAGGGCAGGUUUAGCUGUACCUUCUGGGUCACCUGGCAGCCAUUGGUAGCUGUGUGGAAGGUGGUGGUCAUGUACUUGGAGGGCAACAAUAUUUUUGGCACUCAUCCUUCUGGAGCUGUAUUCGCCUUGGCUGGAAAACAACCAUUCCUACUUUCCACAACCCCGACAAAGACGAGAGAGGAAGCCUGAGACCUGGAGGGAGGGUAAAGGCACAGAAGGUCUCCUUAGGUAACAUGCCAGAAUGUUCCAGAAUACAGACUUUUGUGCUCAGACUCCACUUCAUAGCAAAGUCCCCUUAACCCCACCAUGGGCCUGCCUCCACACAGAGGUAAGUUGGAAACAUGGGUGCUUAGAAAGGCCUUAGAAGAAAACACAAAGACGAUGUCCAAAGCUGAGUGCCCAAGGCCGGGUGUCCAAGGCUGGGUGUCCAAGGCUGUGUGGCCAAGGCUGGGUGCCCAAGCCUGUGUGUCCAAGGCUGGGUGCCCAAGGCCAGGUGUCCAAGCCUGGGUGUCUAAGCCUAUGUGUUCAAGGCUGGGUUGGACAGCCUGGGUGUCCAAGGCUGGGUGUCCAAGACCAGGUGUCCAAGCCCGUGUGUCCAAGGCUGGGUGCCCAAUCACCCAGGCACUUGCCAGGCACCAUCGUAGGCGCACCGGGCCCAAGAGGAGAGGAUGUGGGUUUGAAUAAGACCCAGACUUGGCCCACGUUUGUCGAAAGUGUAACUGUGAACUCAGACAUCUAAAGAUGGAUCACAGAACAGUGACGCAGUUAGUGUAUGUGUGCCGAAAACUGAACAGAAGCAAAAACAAAGAGGACAAAACAAGAAACCCCUGAACUUAGAAGUGGCUGGAAUUCAAAUAUGCAUUUCCCCCGGAGGUGUAGGUGUGUAUGUGAAGUCUGUAUGCAAAAAGAGGCAGACACCGUUACUCUGCAGGGAGAUGCAAAUCCAAACCACAGUGAGAUGCCACCUCACGCCCAGCCUACCUCGCUAAGGGAAAGGACAGAUCCUGACAAGUGUUCAAAGAGGUGAGACAUUGGAAUUCUCACAGCUGGCAGACAUAACAAAGCAGUUCUGUUAAACAGUUACUUUUCUCAAAGUUUAAAAAAUAGGAAAUGAAAGUUACAUAUGAGCCAGGGUUCUGAAAGAAACAAUGUCUAAGACUUUAAAUUCAGAAUUCUUUGUUCUUUCUUGACAAGAAAAAAAAAAGAAAUAAAAUUGCUCGUCAAUUUAUAC
ensembl:lincRNA Mirt1 myocardial infarction associated transcript 1